CCUCCAAAUCGAUCUCGACCUCGACCUUGACGCGAAACGAGGAUCCAGCUUCUCUUUACUCAUCAAACAGGGCUUUGCACUCCGUCAUUUGAUCUUUACGUUCCCUCGAAUCCCCAAAAUGGGAUACGGUUUGUUUGUGAUCGGAUUACUUGCCUUUCUUCCUGGGAGUAUCGAAGGGCUGCGCAUGCGCUGAGAAUAGAGUGGAAUUAUAAGCCAAUCUCUGAGGUAAGGCAGUUGAUCGAGGGGCUGCUC